CAGCCACAUCACAUUGAAACUUCAGUUCCUGUACAAUCACCAAAGUUAAGCCACAUUGAGCCUGGUCAGUAUCUAGAUAGGUGACCACUUGGGAAUACCAGGUGCUGUUAG